rnacentral:sRNA from 1 species
UCAUGCUAAAUGUAGGUGGUUCGUAGGU